rnacentral:rRNA from 1 species
AUGUCUACAGCCUCCUCAUGGCUGGGUUUGUGGAGGCCGGGGAUGGGGCCAAAGCAGUGGAGCUGCACCAAGAACUUGCAGGACAAGCUUGGCGGCGAGCCGGUCCUCGAUGGCAUCGUGUACGGGAGCCUCAUGAAGGCCUACUUCCUUAUGGGAAUGGAGGAGAAGGCCAUGGGGUGCUGCAAAGAGCUGCUCGCUCCGGAAUCGGAGGUGAGGUUCGGGACCGAGAGCUAUACUCAGGUGCUCGAUGCGCUUGGGAAGAAUGAAAGGUUAGAGGAUGCACUCAACCUGUUCGACAGAAUGCUUGGGGAGCAUGACCCUCCAUUGAGGAUUACAGUUGAUGUCAGAAGCUUCAGCGUGAUGGUGGAUGCCUACUGUGCUGCCGGAAGGUUUGAGGAUGCGAUUGCGGUGUUCCGGAGGAUGGCAGAGUAUAAGGUGGCACCGGAUGUAGCAGCAUACAACAAUCUGAUUCGGCAUCUCGGGCUUAAUCGGCUGGCAGAUGAGGCAGAGGUGCUCCACAAGGAGAUGGGCGAGCAUGGUCUUGUUGCAGAUGAGGAGACAUGUGUGCUGCUCAUGGAGGCGCGCUUUAAGGCUGAUCGCAUCGACGAUGGUAUCAGCUACUUCAACAGAAUGGCUGAGCUGGAGUUGAAGCCUGAUGCAUCGCAUUAUCAUAGGAUCGUCGACGGCUUGGUUGGUUUAAGCUUGCUCGACAAGGCUCAUGAGUACUUCGAUCAGAUGAGGGAGAAGGAAAUUCACCCAAGCACUGCAACCUACGAGACACUGCUAAAGGCGUAUGUUGGCGUUGGCGCGACGCGGUUGGAUGAUGCAGCCAAAGUAGCGAAGUGUAUCCUUUUGGAUGAGAAUGUGGUUUUCAGCGAUGAGAUGAGGGAGCUUCUUGAAGGCGCGCUCCGUGGAGAGGGCAGGGAAGAUGACAUAGCAAAGCUGUAUGAAGACGUGGAGAGGGAGAAGGCCGAAGCAGUUCUGCGGGUGGAAGAAGAGAAGGCGAGGGCAGAGGCACUUGCCAGGGAAGAGAGGGCGGCGAGGAGGGCAGAGGCCGCUGCCAAGGAUGAGGCUGCAGCAAAAGCUAGUGCUGCUGCCAUUGAGGCUAUCAUUGGCCAUAGAAGGAAAACUGAAGGUGAGACAGCAGAACCUGCAUCUACUCCAAACGCUCUCGACGGCGGGCUUCUCAGCAGGCUUGGCCUUAGUUCACCUGGAGAAGGUGCGCCUCAAGACACUCCAAUAAUUAGUACCGAAACAAAAGGAGAUGGGCAGGAGCAAUUUUGA